CCUUGUACACACCGCCCGUCAAGUCAUGGAAGCCGGGAGCACCCGAAGUCCGUUUAGCUGACCGAAAGGAGGCGGCGGCCGACGGUGAGCUCGGUGACUGGGACU
rnacentral:rRNA from 1 species